AGCUGGGACUGGCCCAUUGGAGGCCUGGGAGAGGCGUGGGAGAGACACAGACGGCCAAAGACUAAGAGGCGACUGAGAGAGAGACACAGAGACGGGGAGAAACAGAGACGGAGAGACCCCGAGAAAUCAGAAGGCAGACACACGCGGAGAAAGUGAGGGAGACAGUCAUUCAUUCACUCACUCACUCCGCGGCUGCUUACUGGGCACGGGCUUGGGUCCAGGCAGUGCCCGGAGCAGACGCAAAUCUCUGCCCCUGUGGGGCUGACUGUCUGGUGGGGACACAGCCCAGAAACCUGAUAACCGAGUAAAUCACGUUGUCGAGAGUGAUAAGGGCGAGAGAUACGGGGUGGGAGAAGCGGGACGACCAGGGGGAAUUACGAGCCAGAUUCUUUUUAUCUGGGGAGGAGAAGAUUCCCACCAGCAUCUGGACUGCGCCUGACCCUCCCCCACCCGCCCCAAACUGGGGAUGGGAGAGGGGAAGGGGGGUGGGGCCUGCGCCCGGAAGCCGACGGCUCUAUCUGUUGGGGGCGUGGGGAGGGAAAUUGAGGCUAAGGCUGCUAAAGACCCCUCUUAACCCGGGUUGCCGGGGUUCUUCCGCCUACUGGACGUCCUUGGGGUGCAGCCCAGGAGGUUCAAUCAGAAGGAAGGUGGUAAAAGGGGAGGGUUCAGUGCCCAGGGCACAGAGGGGACCCCUCUAUUAGGGGGGAAAGAAGCGCAGGCUGCGGCCGCCAGGGCUGAAGAACCCUCCCCCUGUUCGUGUCUCCGGAUCCACCCACCGCGACGGAGCGUCCCUGGGAGGGCCGCCCGGGCCCCGAGGGGGGAGCCGAGGGCUGGCUAGUGCCAGUCGGCGCCGAGGGCGCGUUCCGUUGCCGCGGCGGGUGGUACAGGCUGGCAGACACGCGCUGGCAGCCGCGGGCUGGCAGCCCGUACCCCAAGAGGAGGAGGGGGCAACUGCUGGCGAUCGCCAGCGCUCUGCCUUGGGGGCCGCCCCCUCGCCUGCCCCCAGCCCCGCCUCCCGAACAGGGGCCGCUGUCUCCGCUCCCGGCCGCGCGACUGUCGAGCGCGCACUACCUGGGCGCAGGGGCCCUGGUUUUCUCGUCUGUUCAGUGGGGCUUCCGUGACUGUGUCUCAGUUUCUGCGUGGAUGUGUUUGUGUGGAGCAUGAAAAUCUUUGUGUCUGCUUCUCUGCGAGGUACUUCGUCUGAGCCUCAGUUUCCUCGUCUGUAAAUUGGAGUUAAGGGGAGAGCUGCCCAGGGUAUGUUAGCGCGAAGUCACAGUUGGGAGGUAUUAUUAUACUUUAAUGACGUGUAUGUCCCUCUGCAAGAGUCUAUGAGAGGUGAAUUCCGUCUGCUGCCCUCGGGCUCUGGCCCUGCAAAAUGGGUGGAGUUUUCUCUGCUUUCUCACUGGGGUUUUGCAGCGAAUGAAGCGGGGAGUUCACAGGAAAAAAAACUCUAUGCAGC
rnacentral:lncRNA from 1 species